rnacentral:lncRNA from 1 species
CUUCUUCCUGCCUUCUUACCCAAGAGCUCUGAUUCCGCUUAAAUAAAAGCAGCUCUUCUUCCUUACUCUUUCGAGUAAGCAUUUUGAAACUUCCUUAAACAUCUGCUUCAAAGAGCUAAGCCCCGGUCUCACUGAACUGGGUCAAAGAACUACCUUCCUGGAGCUACCUCCUUACUUAGAUCGUUCGUUCCCCAAUUCAAACUCGGAUCAGUUGGCAAGUGGAUUCCGUGCCUGGGUACGAA